CUGUUCCUGUCACGUGGCCCCUGACAGCCCUCUCACACGGGGCAGGUUGCUUUGUCAAGGCCAGCAGGAGAGUCUCUGAUUCUAGACCCUCUUUCAAAUGGCUCGCCUGAUUAGGUCAGGCCCCCAGGCACAAUGUCCCUUUGCAUUAACUCAAAGUCAGCUGAUGAGGGAGGGACCUUUGCUACAUCUGCAAACCCCCUUCACCUUUGCCAUCACACAGCCUCAUCUCGGGAGUGACGUCUGUCAGAUCUACAUCCCUGGGCACACGCAAGGGGAGGGGAUUAUAUCCGGUGCAGACACUAGGAGCCGAGAGUCUUGGGAACCACCUAGAAUCCUGCUUACACCAAUGUCUGAACCAAAGUGCACACACGGAAGCCACGCCCACCCAGGUGAGGGGCUGGACCAGAUGGCCCCAGACCCCCCUUUCACCUCUGGCCUCUACAUUAAGACCUCACCACAAAGCUCCACUGUGAGAGAGCCCCGGGCACUCACGUUCCAGUUGGAGGCGUGUUCCCACGGGGACAUGUGGAGUCAGGCCGAGGCUCCCACCAAUGCUCUGCAGGAGGAUGGAGCCUUAGAGCACGCCGCCCUGCUGCACAGACCCACAGGAGCCUGGGACUGUGCAUACCGGGCUCAUCAUUGCCGGAAAUCAGUGGAAAUAAAAUGUAAGCGAUUUA